GUCCGGUAUGGGAGACCACAAUCCCGGUAGGGUUCCCUACGGACCCGGUCCGUCCACCAUCUCCCAGGAUAUCUAGUCAGGCUGACCACAUUAUACAAUUACCCAUUUACAUAAUCUAUCAUUCUCUUUUCCCUCAGUCAGCAUCAUCAAUCCACAUACAAACAAGCAAAACAGUAAUUUAUGCCAAACAGACAAUAUACAACAUCAAUAUCUC
rnacentral:lncRNA from 1 species